GCCUGGGUGGCUCAGUUGGUUGAGCACCCGCCUUCGGCUCAGGUCCUGAUCCCAGGAUCCUGGGAUCGAGCCCCAGGUCAGGCU
rnacentral:tRNA from 1 species